rnacentral:misc_RNA from 1 species
UCCGAGUUGACCCCGGCAGUCUCCUAUGAGUCCCCGCCAUAACGCGCUGGCAACAUAGAACGAGGGUUGCGCUCGUUGCGGGACUUAACCCAACAUCCCACGACACGAGCUGACGACAGCCAUGCACCACCUGUGCACGAGCCCCGAAGGGCUGCCGUAUUUCUACGACAUUCCCGUGCAUGUCAAGCCCAGGUAAGGUUCUUCGCGUUGCUUCGAAUUAAACCACAUGCUCCACCGCUUGUGCGGGCCCCCGUCAAUUCCUUUGAGUUUCAGCCUUGCGGCCGUACUCCCCAGGCGGGGCACUUCAUGCGUUAGCGCCGGCACGGAGAACGUGGAAUGUCCCCCACACCUAGUGCCCACCGUUUACGGCGUGGACUAC